UUGAUCUGGCUCAGAGUGAACGCUGGCGGCGUGCCUAAUACAUGCAAGUCGAACGAUGAAGCKUCUAGCUUGCUAGAGUGCUGAUUAGUGGCGCACGGGUGAGUAACGCAUAGGUUAUGUGCCUCUUAGUUUGGGAUAGCCAUUGGAAACGAUGAUUAAUACCAGAUACUCCCUACGGGGGAAAGAUUUAUCGCUAAGAGAUCAGCCUAUGUCCUAUCAGCUUGUUGGUAAGGUAAUGGCUUACCAAGGCUAUGACGGGUAUCCGGCCUGAGAGGGUGAACGGACACACUGGAACUGAGACACGGUCCAGACUCCUACGGGAGGCAGCAGUAGGGAAUAUUGCUCAAUGGGGGAAACCCUGAAGCAGCAACGCCGCGUGGAGGAUGAAGGUUUUAGGAUUGUAAACUCCUUUUGUUAGAGAAGAUAAUGACGGUAUCUAACGAAUAAGCACCGGCUAACUCCGUGCCAGCAGCCGCGGUAAUACGGAGGGUGCAAGCGUUACUCGGAAUCACUGGGCGUAAAGAGCGCGUAGGCGGGAUAGUCAGUCAGGUGUGAAAUCCUAUGGCUUAACCAUAGAACUGCAUUUGAAACUACUAUUCUAGAGUGUGGGAGAGGUAGGUGGAAUUCUUGGUGUAGGGGUAAAAUCCGUAGAGAUCAAGAGGAAUACUCAUUGCGAAGGCGACCUGCUGGAACAUUACUGACGCUGAUUGCGCGAAAGCGUGGGGAGCAAACAGGAUUAGAUACCCUGGUAGUCCACGCCCUAAACGAUGGAUGCUAGUUGUUGGAGGGCUUAGUCUCUCCAGUAAUGCAGCUAACGCAUUAAGCAUCCCGCCUGGGGAGUACGGUCGCAAGAUUAAAACUCAAAGGAAUAGACGGGGACCCGCACAAGCGGUGGAGCAUGUGGUUUAAUUCGAAGAUACACGAAGAACCUUACCUAGGCUUGACAUUGAGAGAAUCCGCUAGAAAUAGUGGAGUGUCUGGCUUGCUAGACCUUGAAAACAGGUGCUGCACGGCUGUCGUCAGCUCGUGUCGUGAGAUGUUGGGUUAAGUCCCGCAACGAGCGCAACCCCCUUUCUUAGUUGCUAACAGGUCAUGCUGAGAACUCUAAGGAUACUGCCUCCGUAAGGAGGAGGAAGGUGGGGACGACGUCAAGUCAUCAUGGCCCUUACGCCUAGGGCUACACACGUGCUACAAUGGGGUGCACAAAGAGAAGCAAUACUGCGAAGUGGAGCCAAUCUUCAAAACACCUCUCAGUUCGGAUUGUAGGCUGCAACUCGCCUGCAUGAAGCUGGAAUCGCUAGUAAUCGCAAAUCAKCCAUGUUGCGGURAAUACGUUCCCGGGUCUUGAACKCUCCRYCCUACCCCASUUG
rnacentral:rRNA from 1 species